UACGUAGGGCGCAAGCGUUGUCCGGAAUUAUUGGGCGUAAAGAGCUCGUAGGCGGCCUGUCGCGUCCGCUGUGAAAUCCGUGGGGCUUAACCCCGGGCGUGCAGUGGAUACGGGCUGGCUAGAGGCAGGCAGGGGGAGAACGGAAUUCCCGGUGCAGCGGUGAAAUGCGCAGAUAUCAGGAGGAACACCGGUGGCGAAGGCGGCUCUCUGGACGGUGACUGACGCUGAGACGCGAAAGCGUGGGGAGCAAACAGG
rnacentral:rRNA from 1 species